rnacentral:rRNA from 1 species
UACACACGUGCUACAAUGGGCGGUACAAAGGGUCGGCGAACCCGCGAAGGGGGAGCCAAUCCCAAAAAGCCGACUCUCAAGUUCGGAUUGCAGGCUGCAACUCGCCUGCAUGAAGCCGGAAUCGCUAGUAAUCGCGGAUCAGCAUGCCGCGGUGAAUACGUUCCCGGGCCGUU